GGCAGCGGGAGAGGACUCGGUCUGAGUACGUACUGGUUUACUCCGGUCUGAAGAGUGUCAACUGCUGCUAGGUUGAGCCGCUAGCGCGCGACUCCCGUGUGAUUCCAUGGAGGGACUUAAGCCGCCACAGACGUUGUGUUUGGGCUCCAGCAACCUCUCUAAAACAUGGAAGAAUUGGAGGGAUGAGUUUGUCCUGUAUCUGGAUCUAACAAUGGCUGAAGCUGACGAUAAACAGAAGAGCAGCAGAGCUCUCCAAGGAGAACGUUAAAACCAUCACCGGGCCGAUGGUUGAAGAGGUGCAUGCCGUGCAAGGGGCACAGUACCAGUGGAAAGGCAACAACACAGUGGAGUGUAAAUUCUGCGGAAGAACACACGAAAGGACCAAACAGAAAUGUCCGGCGUUCGGAAAGAAGUGUGCAAAGUGUGGCAGAGAGAACCACUUUGCAGCCAAAUGUAAAGCGAAACCAGACCAAAGGAGGAAGAAAAAUGUGAGUACAAUAGCAACAGAAUAUGUGAGUGAUGAAUAUGUUGAUAUAACAUGUAUCACUGUGACAGACACUGAGAUAGUGGAUGCAGUGGAGACGGACUUGGGCAAAGAUGAAGACCCAGAGAGAGAACAGGAUGUGAAAGAUAACACUGUUAAAGAGGACACUCAGCUUCUAUAUGCUGGUAUGCUACUAGGCAAAGACAUGGUCAAGUUCCAAAUAGAUUGUGGUGCUAGUUGCAACAUCAUCCCCAUUAACCUGCUGAAUCCAGACACCGAGCUGGAACACACUAAAAGUGUACUAGUUAUGUACAACAAAAGCAAGCUGAAGCCAAUGGGGAAAUGUAAGAUUAAAAUAAGGAAUCCAAGAAAUCACAAACUAUAUCGCUUGGAGUUCCAAGUGGUGAACACAGACGGUGCAGUGCCUCUGCUGGGUCGGAAAGCCAGUGAGGCGAUGAAACUGAUUAAAGUGCACCAUGAGAAUAUCAUGGCAAUGGACAGUAUAAUCACAACAGGAAAACCGAAAACAGGGUGGACGAUGGAACAAAUCAAAACAAGGUAUGCUGACGUGUUCACUGGAGAUGGCUGCCUUGGAGGAAAAUACAAGAUGGAGGUGGACAGCACAGUGAAGCCGGUGCAGCUGCCAAAGAGACGGGUUCCAGUGGCCCUGAUGAAACCACUGAAGG
ensembl:lncRNA